UGUUUCCUGUCGCUAUGGCUACCCCGCUAACUACAAUGACUUUCAGCAUCAUUAAUUAGCCAUGUGCUUCUGCUCGUUUAGGGAGAAUUGGCGUUUGUUUUCGAGUUAAUGGUCUUAGCUUUUGGUCCAAUGGGACAUUUUGCGGACUAUUGCGUUAACAACGGGACGGUGACUUUGAUAUGGUUAACUUGUUAGCAAACAGUUUACACUCCCAGCGACACGGAGCGACAUGAGCAUUCAUUAGGAAUCGUGUUUCUUGCCACACGGUGAAUGUCAAGAGGACAUGAUGAGCCAUGAAGACUGUAAGCUGUGACUGAAUCUCAGAAGACUGAACACAGAGGAUCCUUCAGGAGUUGACGCGGAGACCUGCGGCGACACCGGGAGCCUGAACACCGCCGUCCACGCUCACCUGACACCGAGGAUGUGUUUCAGAUAACACAAUGUGCAGAUAAAACACACACUAACACGAACCCUCGCUCAUCAUACUUCCUUCUCUUUAACCAACUAAAAUCUUUUCCCAUCA